rnacentral:rRNA from 1 species
GAUAAACGCUGGCGGCGUGCAUAACACAUUCAAGUCGAACGGGAAUCGGAUGAUUGAGACUUCGGUCGAUUGAUUUCGAGGAUAGUGGCGGACGGGUGAGUAACGCGUGAGCAACCUGCCUUCAUGAGGGGGAUAACAGUGGGAAACGACUGCUAAUACCGCAUAACGUAUUAAAGCGACAUCGCUUAAAUAUCAAAGGAGUAAUCCGCAUGAAGAUGGGCUCGCGUCUGAUUAGCUAGAUGGCGGGGUAACGGCCCACCAUGGCGACGAUCAGUAGCCGGUCUGAGAGGAUGAACGGCCACAUUGGGACUGAGAUACGGCCCAGACUCCUACGGGAGGCAGCAGUGGGGAAUAUUGGGCAAUGGGGGAAACCCUGACCCAGCAACGCCGCGUGAAGGAAGAAGGCCUUCGGGUUGUAAACUUCUUUACCUAGGGACGAAGAACGUAGACGGUACCU